CGAGUCUAAGGAAAUUUUUGUCGAUUUAAGGAAUUUUUACCACUGAGUCUAAGGAAAAUUUGGAAUUCCGUUCUGAGAGCCCUGAUACCGGCUGCGAGGUCUGUACUGAAAGUUCCUGAGUCCAGAUCCAGACCUUCCAGUUACCGUGAAAUUCACGCAUUUUUGUUUGCUAUCACGCAUGAAGUGACUUUCUUCCCGCAUUUUUAAACUUUAACUUGUCGAGAUUUCUUUAUGUGGGGCAAUUUGUCCCAUUUCUUUUCAUUUGCAC